ensembl:ncRNA C54G7.15 ncRNA
UACUUGUGCAAUAGGGCGGAUCACAUUAAAAAGAGCACCGGUCAAAUGAGUGGUAACCGAUAAGUCAGAUAGUUUGAAUGGGGAGUCUUUAAGGUUUUCGCCAAGUGUAUUGAGAAAAACUAUGCAUUAUUCCAAAAUAAUAAUAUGUCAAGAAGCUCAAAUCUUAAAACUUGACAAUUUUUUUCAGAGACAAGGGUAAAUUUGGUUUGCAUACGAACGGGUGUCAUUACUUGUUUACAGUCUGGCGCAGACCCCACCGAGAGGUAUCAAUAGAGAUAGUCGAGACGGCUGGCGGAUAAGAUGAACGCGGUGAGAGCGCACUAGCGAGAGGUGUUCUUAGUUUUUGCGCGAGGAGUCACCGCAGUCCACAGCCCACAGUUAUUCUCUAUUC